AAAGAGCAGCGAGCGAGCGCGCGAGUAGCGAGAGAGAAAAAGCGAAGUGGGGCGAGCGAGCAGCGACAGAAAAAGCAGACCUAACAGCGUGAGGGCAGCGACCUAGCCGGCGCCCUCGCAGCCGCCUCCGCCUCCUCUCCUGCCGCCACCGCCGCCGCCGCCUCCACCACCUCCUCCUUCCCUGCCUCUCCUCCUCCCGCGUCUCCUCAUCUCCUCCUUCUACUUCCGUGCUCAAUAGGAGGAGCCGGGGUCGCUGCCCCCCGACCAUGGUGACAGACGGCGACAACGGCGGUCUAGGUUGGGUGGGUCAUGGCCGACCAGCAACAGGCAGUCCAUGGCGGCGGCGGCCAGAUUUGCGCCGGGACAGCUGCGACUCAUCCUCAAGAUUCGGUUUGGUUUGCUUGCUUUUCCCACUGCCUGCAGUCCUGCUUUUCAUCCUCACGAUUGAAGAGGAGCAUGGAUUGCUUUCCUCUUCAGUCUCUUCUUCUUCCCUCCCAUUAUUCCUUCAACGAUGUUCCUCUUCGAUUUGUUUGUGCAGCAUCACUAACUCAACUCCAUGCAUAUGCAGAUGCAGGGGGAGGAGAGGACCGCUACUUUGAUUCUCUGAUUUUUUUGUGAGAAUUAAGAUGGAUGGCUUCUCGUGUAGAACUCAGUUUACAUAUAUUUUUUAUUUUAUAACUAGACCUAUGCUUUUAUCAGGUUUUCUUAUGAUGUGUUCAUAUUUUGUAGGAAGAACAUCUUCAUAUCAGGAAGAAAAAUCAUCGGUGGAAGCUACUGACCAUGAGGAUUUACAUCAGUGACCUUCACUCGGGUUGUAAGUAGAUAUAAUGCAGUAAGGACUUCUAUUCUUGCGAGUCUGGUUAGAUGCACUUGUGAAUGGCUGCUAAGAAAAAAGGCCUCGGAGUGUAGAGAAGGUUUCUGAGAUAUGCAUGCCAAAUAUCUUGCUACUUUGGCAUUUUUGUAGGCAGAUCUGUAGAUAUAAAUAAAGUUGGUUCUAAUGUGAUACUCUCAAUUUCUUCCGGUGUAUGAUAUUAUGAAGGUUGGGGAAUUUAUAUUUACACGAGAUAAAUUAUGAUGUACUCAUGUUUCUUGAACUGAUGACCAUCACUACAUCAAGAUGGCUGGUGAAUAAAGCGUGUCAUGUGUUUCAUGAUGUGUUACCAUAUAUAUACUAUUUGCAGGAAUUUUAUAUGUUGAUUAGCAUACUCUCACUCUAAUGUAUACAUUGCAUGAGCUCCCAACAUCCAUAACAAUUUUUCUCAUUCAACAAAUUUAUAUAUUUAUCUGCCUGAUUAUGCUCAUUCAAGUGUUGUUGCCAUUUAGGCCAUUCCAUUUUUUUCUUGCAGGCGUUGACAAACUGUGAAAUUCUUUGUUGAGUUCCUUUCAAAUGGGCACUGAAGUAGACAAGCCUAAGGCUGACCAAGUUACCUAUGGUGGGGUAUUCCUUUAGAUCCUACUUGAGUUAGCACUAAAAAAAUUAUCUUACUCAAUGUAUUCAUGUUUAUAUCAGUGCUUUUGAACGAAGUUAAUUAAGUUUUGGUGUAACUAGGCUGAAUUAUAUCAGAUUUGUUUUACUGGAUUUGCUUCUUCCCAUCUCAUGAUAUCUAAUUACAUGCCCGUUCAAUGAAAAAAGAUAUCUAAUGCCUUUUCAAUUUGUUUCCCGUGUCAAUGCAACUGAAUGUGAUAUCCACAUACUAAGGUUUUCCUUGUAAAGAUUUUUAUUAGUGUAGUGUAUUUACUUCUUGUGCUGGUGGUUCUUCUAUUCCGAGGACUUGUUCUAUUAUGGAUACCUUAUUUGAUCAUUCUUUGGCGAACUUAAUACCGCCCAGUCAGAUGUUUAAAGGGGGAGGAGUUUAAAGUUGAAUAUUGCCCUCAAUUGGGGAAUAUGUGUUGCCCCCUUUGUGUGAUGUGUGGAAAUUUGCUGUGCUGACUUAUUUCUUUUGUAAUGCAGGCUCAAGGACGUGAGGCAAUUACUGCCAAACUGGCUGCAUAUUUUCUCAUGUAAGCUGGCAGCGACCGUGUCAUUGCAGGCAGGAUUCGUGCCCCUGCACCUCCAGGUUCCACUCCGUCACAUGUCCCUUCCUCCCUCCGUUCCAAUAGGUAUGCCCAUGUAUGUUUAGCUGAUGUGAUCUGUUCUUGCGUCUUGCUCUCCUGUCAAUGAGAACCUCAUGGAGCUCUUCAUCAUGAUUGAUGCAUGUCAGCGGGCCUCAGCGCGAUCUAUUACCGUUGUCAUUCUCUACUUUGGAUAUGCUAGAGGAGACAGAAAGUUUUGCAGGUAGUGAGGGAGGAUGGACACGAGAAGAGUGACACUGCCAUCUUCACAUAUGAAGUUUUGUUAUGAUAUAUUUCAUUCCAUUUUAUUUUUAUCACACGCCUAGAAGCUUUGCUUUAGCUAAGAUUUUUAGUUCCAUUCAUUAGUUCUGGACAGUUUGACAAUGGCCAACCAUCUAUCAUGCACAGGUGCAGGGUACAGUUUGACAAUGCACAGGUGCAGGGUACAGUAGUCAGUGUUCGUAUAUUCAACAUAUGGUCCAUCUUAUGCAUACAAGGUGCUAUCUUGGCAUGGAUACAACCUGCAACCAUAUGCACAUGAAGUGUGUAUGUUCUAAGAGGAGCACAAUUUCAGAAGAGUUUUUUUUUAUUUGAAGUGGUUUGAUUUUCUAUCGAGACUUUUAUAUCUAGCAUCAUUUUGGAUCUUAUGUAAAAAAUAUGAUAAUCAUGUCCGUAUGACUAUCAUCAAUCCGUACUUACUUCCAUA